GAGAAGGAGCUGCCUCUCCUUUCACCAGAAGACAGACCAGGACUAGAUGUUGGCGGUCCUCAGCAGACCUUGCAUUUUACCUUUUCUAAGGACCAGGCUGCAAUCCACAAACCACACAGCUGAGGGAAAGAUUGGUGGAGAUGGAAACGGAAAUCGAGAGAUUUAGAACACAGAAUGCAGCUCUAGCAAAUCUAUGCCAAGAAAAAGACUUGGAAAGCCUGAGGAAGGAGAUAGCUGACUUUGAAAAGAAAAAGGCAGAAGAGUUGGUACGACUGGAAGAAUACAAAAAAGAGGAAAUGAGAAAACUGCAAAAGGAACGCAACAUUUUUGAGAAGCAUUCUACUGCAGCUCGAGCAAUCCCUGACAAAAAGGAACGACAGGAAAUGCGGAGAUGGGAGCAAAAUUAUUGAAUUCAACAACGGGCAAAGAGAACUGCAUACCCCAGAGUACAAGGGAAGAGAGUACCCAGAUGGAACUGUGAAGACUGUAUUCCAAUGGCCAACAAGAAACUAAAUACCUUACUGGCAGAGUAAGGAGCAAAGACAAAGAUGGAAAUAUCAUAAUGGACACAAACAUAGCAACAUGGCCUUCUGAAGUUUGUUCAAAGCUUACAUGAAUUUCAAGGUGCUCGCCCGUUUCUAUUAAAAAUAUUUAACAAAAGCAGAGGCUGAUUGAUGCCUUAGGUUGCAAGUGGAAAUGUUA